CCCUUAGAUGUCCGGGGCCGCACGCGCGCUACAAUGAUGAAUUCAACGAGUUUAUAACCUUGGUUGAAAAGCCUGGGUAAUCUUUUGAACUUUCGUCGUGAUGGGGCUAGACCCUUGCAAUUAUUGGUCUCCAACGAGGAAUUCCUAGUAAACGCAAGUCAUCAGCUUGCAUUGAUUACGUCCCUGCCCUUUGUACACACCGCCCGUCGCACCUACCGAUUGAAUGGUCCGGUGAAAUCUUCGGAUUGAGACUUUGAUUUCUUCACGGAAAACGCUGUUUUAAAAAGUUGAUUAAACCUUACCAUUUAGAGGAAGGUGAAGUCGUAACA
rnacentral:rRNA from 1 species